rnacentral:lncRNA from 1 species
AUAAAAAAACCUCACCCACCUUAUCCCUACCCCUUCCCUUCUAAACUCUAUUUCCCCUAAAUUCUUGACAGACAAACACCACCGUUGGAUUACAGCCCACCACCGUCGACCACCACAUUUUUCUCUUAGAAACACAGUCAACAACCUUUAUUUCUUCGUUUUUCUUCCCAACGGUCCUUAAGCCACCAACGAACCAUAUAUUUCACUUGUUCUUAUUCCCAAACGGAUAAACAUUGAUGAUGGAGAGCUAUGGUGUUUCCUUUGUUCUCCAUAACCAUAUUUGAAAACCGAGCUAUAAAUUUGGGUUAAAACAAGUGUCAGAGAUUGGUUAAACCAAAUGUGGGUUAACUAUCCCUGAAAAUCUAGAUUUACAUGCCAGCUAGGGUUCGAGGUUGUGUGGGUUGCUGAAGAUGGAGCUGUCACCGCCACUUGUUGGGUUUUACAUCGAUUUCCUGUCAGGGUUUCAAGAGUUACAGGUCCGAUUUGCAGAAAAUAAAAGAGAUAGAUAGAUAGAUAGAUAGAUAGAUAGAUAGAUAGAUAGAUAGAUAGAGAGGAAAGAUGUAAUUACGAUCGGGAAGAGAUGUGUGGUCAUUGAUAGGGUUGUAGAAGAAAGGAGAAGGUGACUGAGCAGAUAUGCGAUAUGCGAUGGUGGUGCUUUGUUAGAUCUGCAACUCGUCGGCAAGGUCUAGGUGGAUAGCGAUCAGAAAAAAUAGAAAAAUGAAGGUUGGUCUCGUCGAAGAAAGAAGGAUGAGUGCUUUUCGGUGGUUGUUCGCAAUGAGUGUAUAUGAAGGAGACAAAGUAGGCAACUGGGGAAAGGGGGAAAAGGGAG